GAUGAACGCUGGCGGCGUGCCUAAUACAUGCAAGUCGAGCGAACGGACGAGAAGCUUGCUUCUCUGAUGUUAGCGGCGGACGGGUGAGUAACACGUGGAUAACCUACCUAUAAGACUGGGAUAACUUCGGGAAACCGGAGCUAAUACCGGAUAAUAUUUUGAACCGCAUGGUUCAAAAGUGAAAGACGGUCUUGCUGUCACUUAAAGAUGGAUCCGCGCUGCAUUAGCUAGUUGGUAAGGUAACGGCUUACCAAGGCAACGAUGCAUAGCCGACCUGAGAGGGUGAUCGGCCACACUGGAACUGAGACACGGUCCAGACUCCUACGGGAGGCAGCAGUAGGGAAUCUUCCGCAAUGGGCGAAAGCCUGACGGAGCAACGCCGCGUGAGUGAUGAAGGUCUUCGGAUCGUAAAACUCUGUUAUUAGGGAAGAACAUAUGUGUAAGUAACUGUGCACAUCUUGACGGGACCUAAUCAGAAAGCCACGGCGAACUACGU
rnacentral:rRNA from 1 species